rnacentral:rRNA from 1 species
CCUACGGGAGGCAGCAGUGGGGAAUAUUGCACAAUGGGGGAAACCCUGAUGCAGCGACGCCGCGUGAGUGAAGAAGUAUCUCGGUACGUAAAGCUCUAUCAGCAGGGAAGAAAAUGACGGUACCUGACUAAGAAGCCCCGGCUAACUAGGUGCCAGCAGCCGCGGUAAUACGUAGGGGGCAAGCGUUAUCCGGAUUUACUGGGUGUAAAGGGAGCGUAGACGGCAGCACAAGUCUGGAGGGAAAGCCCGGGGCUUAACCCCGGAACUGCUUUGGAAACUGUGCGGCUGGAGUGCAGGAGGGGUAAGAGGAAUUCCUGGUGUAGCGGUGAAAUGCGUAGAUAUUAGGAGGAACACCGGUGGCGAAGGCAGCUUACUGGACUGUAACUGACGUUGAGGCUCGAAAGCGUGGGGAGCAAACAGGAUUAGAUACCCUUGUAGUC